GACGUAGGGGGCGAGCGUUGUCCGGAUUUACUGGGCGUAAAGGGCGCGUAGGCGGCGUGACAAGUCACUUGUGAAAUCUCCGGGCUUAACUCGGAACGGCCAAGUGAUACUGUCGUGCUAGAGUGCAGAAGGGGCAAUCGGAAUUCUUGGUGUAGCGGUGAAAUGCGUAGAUAUCAAGAGGAACACCUGAGGUGAAGACGGGUUGCUGGGCUGACACUGACGCUGAGGCGCGAAAGCUAGGGGAGCAAACGGG
rnacentral:rRNA from 1 species